rnacentral:rRNA from 1 species
ACCCGCUGAACUUAAGCAUAUCAAUAAGCGGAGGAAAAGAAACUAACAAGGAUUCCCCUAGUAACGGCGAGUGAAGCGGGAAGAGCUCAAAUUUGAAAUCUGGUGGCCUCAGGUCAUCCGAGUUGUAAUCUAUAGAAGUGUUUUCCGUGCUGGCUCAUGUACAAGUCCCUUGGAACAGGGCGUCAUAGAGGGUGAGAAUCCCGUCCUUGACAUGAACUACCAGUGCUCUGUGAUACAUUUUCAACGAGUCGAGUUGUUUGGGAAUGCAGCUCAAAAUGGGUGGUAAAUUCCAUCUAAAGCUAAAUAUUGGCGAGAGACCGAUAGCGAACAAGUACCGUGAGGGAAAGAUGAAAAGCACUUUGGAAAGAGAGUUAAACAGUAUGUGAAAUUGUUGAAAGGGAAACGAUUGAAGUCAGUCGUGCUCUUUGGAUUCAGCCGGUUCUGCCGGUGUACUUCCUUUGAGUGGGGUCAACAUCAGUUUUGAUCGCUGGAUAAAGGCUGGAGGAACGUAGUACCCUCGGGUAAACUUAUAGCCUCCUGUCACAUACAGUGGUUGGGACUGAGGAACGCAGCACGCCUUUAUGGCCGGGAUUCGUCCACGUACGUGCUUAGGAUGUUGACAUAAUGGCUUU